rnacentral:rRNA from 1 species
UGCGGUUAUACAAAAAUUAAAUUAAAUUUUUUUAGGAUUUAAUAAUUAAAUAUUAAAAAUAAUAUAAAUUUUAAAUUAUAAAGUGAAAUUUAAAUUUAAUUAAAAUUUAUUUUUUUUUUUAUGAUAUUAAUAAAUUUUAUGAAAAACUAGGAUUAGAUACCCUAUUAUAAAAAUUUAAAUUUAAUAAACUUAAAAUAGUAUAUAAUUUUUUAUAGAAACUUAAUUAAAUUGGCGGUAUUUUAGUUCAUUUAGAGGAAUCUGUCUAAUAAUUGAUAAUCCACGAUAAAAUUUACUUAAUUUAUAAUUUUGUAUAUCGUUGUUUAAAAAAUAUUUUUGAAUAAUAUUAAUAUUUUAAAAUUUUUAUAAGAAAUUAAAUCAGAUCAAGAUGCAGAUUAUAAUUAAGAAUAUGAUGGAUUACAUUAAAAUUUAUUUUUGGAUAUUAAUAUGAAAAUUUAAUUGAAAUUGGAUUUAAAUGUAAUUUUAAUGAUUUAAUUAAAAUGAUUAAAAAUUAAAAUAUGUACAUAUUGCCCGUCGCUUUCAUUUAUAAAUUGAAAUAAGUCGUAACAAAGUAGAAGUACUGGAAAGUGUUUCUAGAAAGAU